rnacentral:rRNA from 1 species
UACAGAGGUCUCAAGCGUUGUUCGGAUUCAUUGGGCGUAAAGGGUGCGUAGGCGGCGCGGUAAGUCGGGUGUGAAAUCUCCGGGCUUAACUCGGAACGGCCAAGUGAAACUGUCAAGCUAGAGUGCAGAAGGGGCAAUCGGAAUUCUUGGUGUAGCGGUGAAAUGCGUAGAUAUCAAGAGGAACACCUGAGGUGAAGACGGGUUGCUGGGCUGACACUGACGCUGAGGCGCGAAAGCCAGGGGAGCAAACGGG